rnacentral:lncRNA from 1 species
AAAGGAGGACCCAGGUGAUAUCUGGGGUACAGAUGAAAGAAGCAGAAAAUUUCAUUGAAGUAAAUAUAUGAUAUGAUGAAAGGGUGGAGCUGGAAAACAGGAUGACAGGCAAGGUAUAGAAGGACAGAGAGGGCCCAGGAGGGGUGGAGAGAUCUGCCAGUCUGGGGGGUGGGGAAGGGGCUGUGGGUACCCCUCUUCAUGCUGUCCCCUCCCCCACACUCUAAAACUCUUUGUGACACUUCAAUGCUCUGUAAUGCAGGCCUGGGACUAUAGUCAAAUGACUGCACCCUCAGAGCCCAGUUCCCUCAGGUAGCCUUGUGAUUCAGACAAUGGAGUUCAGACAAGGGACUUUUCUCUCAUUUCUGAAUAGCCCUAUUGAGUCAUGUCUGAGCUUUGGGUCAACAUUCCUGGAUACUCAUUCCAACCUCACCUUCCUAUGUGGGUUGGGGUUGCUCCUUCUGUUCCUGGGCUACCUGGUGGGGAUUCCAACUUUACCAACCUUCUGGAAAACCAAAGACUUCCAAAAGCGUAAGGGCAGAGCCAAGAGGAGAAGGAAAAGUGGAACAUAGAGAGAGGGACACACAUUGCAUUUGGAGAUGUUCCUCCUUUUUCAACUCUAUUCUUAUUUUACGUCCUGUGCACUUGCUCUUGAACUUACAUCACAAUUCUGCAAAGGAAAAGCUGCUUAUUCAUCUGGAAACUUAUGGUAGGAAUCCCAAAGACAGUGCUGUAAUGGGGACUGAAGUUCCUUUAGCAAAUCCUGCUUUUUGAUGAGCCUUUUAAAAAUCUGGACAAGAGACUACCAGCUAGAGUACGUGGAAUCCAUAAUUUGAGAAGAGUGUUUUUCAAACUGCACGUCCUGACCUAUGUGACUAGAUUAUGA